rnacentral:rRNA from 1 species
AACGCGAAGAACCUUACCUGGGCUCGAAAUGUAGAGGACGUUACAAGAGAUUGUAAUUCCCGAAAGGGUCUCUAUAUAGGUGCUGCAUGGCUGUCGUCAGCUCGUGCCGUGAGGUGUUUGGUUAAGUCCAGCAACGAGCGCAACCCUUAUCGUUAGUUGCCAACGCGUAAUGGCGGGAACUCUAACGAGACUGCCUAGGUUAACUAGGAGGAAGGUGAGGAUGACGUCAAGUCCGCAUGGCCUUUAUGUCCAGGGCUACACACGUGCUACAAUGGUCGGUACAGAAGGCAGCGAAACCGUGAGGUGGAGCAAAUCCUACAAAACCGAUCUCAGUUCAGAUUGCAGUCUGCAACUCGGCUGCAUGAAGUUGGAAUUGCUAGUAAUGGCGUGUCAGCAACAACGCCGUGAAUACGUUCCCGGGCCUUGUA